rnacentral:rRNA from 1 species
ACUCCUGCGGGAGGCAGCAGUGGGGAAUAUUGGACAAUGGGCGCAAGCCUGAUCCAGCCAUGCCGCGUGAGUGAUGAAGGCCCUAGGGUUGUAAAGCUCUUUCACCGGUGAAGAUAAUGACGGUAACCGGAGAAGAAGCCCCGGCUAACUUCGUGCCAGCAGCCGCGGUAAUACGAAGGGGGCUAGCGUUGUUCGGAUUUACUGGGCGUAAAGCGCACGUAGGCGGACUAUUAAGUCAGGGGUGAAAUCCCGGGGCUCAACCCCGGAACUGCCUUUGAUACUGGUAGUCUUGAGUUCGAGAGAGGUGAGUGGAAUUCCGAGUGUAGAGGUGAAAUUCGUAGAUAUUCGGAGGAACACCAGUGGCGAAGGCGGCUCACUGGCUCGAUACUGACGCUGAGGUGCGAAAGCGUGGGGAGCAAACAGGAUUAGAAACCCGAGUAGUCCCAUGAU